UACGUAGGGUGCGAGAGUUGUCCGGAAUUACUGGGCGUAAAGAGCUCGUAGGUGGUUUGUCGCGUUGUUCGUGAAAACUCACAACUCAAUUGUGGGCGUGCGGGCGAUACGGGCAGACUGGAGUACUGCAGGGGAGACUGGAAUUCCUGGUGUAGCGGUGGAAUGCGCAGAUAUCAGGAGGAACACCGGUGGCGAAGGCGGGUCUCUGGGCAGUAACUGACGCUGAGGAGCGAAAGCGUGGGGAGCGAACAGG
rnacentral:rRNA from 1 species